UUCCAUUGUGCCUGACUGUAACUCAAUGUGUCAUCUAUACAGCAAGUAACAUUCUAUCUUUUUCAUAAUAUUGUUCAGAAGAUUUAAGGUUUUCAGACUGUCAUUUACAUAAUUCCAGUUACCUUCCUCUCUCUGGGCUACAAAAAUUACAGCAUUCACAUGAAAUUAACUGGAUAAAGAAGGAAUAAAGAUCAGCUUUCGCUUUCUAAUGAUAUCGACAUAUUAACAAUGGAGCACAACCUCCCAUUCAAACGGACAAGAAUGAAGCAGAAAAAUGACUAUGCUUCUUUAUGACAAGGUCACGGCCAACGGCAGACAACUGAGCUUCUGCAGCCCUCUGUAAUGCUGCUACCGCAUUCUGCAGUUGCUUCACAUCACUCUGCAGAACUGCAGCUUCGACAUUCUCUGCAUCAUCUGAGU